UACGGAGGGGGCCAGCGUUGUUCGGAAUUAUUGGGCGUAAAGGGCGCGUAGGCGGUCUGUUGCGUCGGCUGUGAAAACCCGGGGCUCAACCCCGGGCCUGCAGCCGAUACGGGCAGACUAGAGUUCGGCAGGGGAGACUGGAAUUCCUGGUGUAGCGGUGAAAUGCGCAGAUAUCAGGAGGAACACCGGUGGCGAAGGCGGGUCUCUGGGCCGAUACUGACGCUGAGGAGCGAAAGCGUGGGGAGCGAACAGG
rnacentral:rRNA from 1 species